rfam:Candidatus Zambryskibacteria bacterium RIFCSPLOWO2_01_FTLL_45_43 rifcsplowo2_01_scaffold_13555, whole genome shotgun sequence.
UCCGGAGUAGUUCAGUGGUAGAACGCCUCGCUGUUAACGAGGAUGUCGUAGGUUCGAUCCCUACCUCCGGAG